CAAUUCAAUAAUAUUUAUUAAUAAAGGCUUAAUCAAACAAAUAAACAAUACAUAUACAUUUAAAAUAGGCUAGUAUAUGUUGCUACUAAAACUAACAUUGACUGAAUGGAAAGUAGGCUAAAUUAACAUAGCAAAACAGGCAUAGACACGUGAUACAGUUACCACUCCAUUGAUCAGCAGCUGAGAGUAAGAGAGAGAGGGUGUGUACAGUGGGGAGAGGGGAGAGAGGAGAGAGAAGGUGAAGAGAGGUAAUUCAAAGAGAGAGAGAAUGUGCUAUUCACAG